UCACAUUUUACAGCAUUUGAUUGGUAGGUUGUAUUUUCAUGGGGCGCUGGCAUUGUGCCAGCGUCAAACCAUGACAAUAGCCUUGUCAUAAAAAGAAAUCAGAUUGGUCAAUUUGCUAGAGACGGGGAAAAAAACUGAAGUUUGGGAAUUUGUAGAAAAUCUCUAUGAAAUUUUAAUACUAUUUGAACCUUAGUAAAAAUGGUGUUAGCUGCACCAGACUUCCUUAUAUCUCUUUCAUUAUCUUUCCAUAUCUUUCAUUCAGAGCAACCUUUUCUUCUGCAUUUUCCUUUUUAACUACUAGGCAUGUGGGAAGACAAUAUUUCUGCUUUAGCUUUGCAGGUAUUCCCCCAGCCACAGGGCUGCUUGGGCAGAGGGAUGUCCAGGGACUUCAGAGUGGUGUGUGGGAGCUGCUGGGAAGCACAGCUCAGAGUGGGCCAUGCAGCUUAUGCUGAUUUCUGUGGUCCUGCUGGUCCCUGCAGCAGCUCAGGCAAAGAUAACCUCGUGUGUUUUUGCCAGUAUAUGGUCGCUAUCCUGGCUUUGAUGAAGGCUUUUUCUGAAGAUUUGAUGAAACUUUUCUCUAUGGAGACAAAGAGAUUCACGUGCAUUAGCAGAGUGGUUUGGGUCUGCUUUCCUGCUUGAUGUGAAAACUGCAGUUCAAUCCAUUCAGCUGUAAUGCAUGUGAAUCUGAGAUACUACCCAUAUAUCUGUGAACUAAGACAAGGCUUUCACCUGAUAACUGGGCUACACUUGUUGCUUGGAGGACAGAACAAUGAAUAAGGCAUCUGGUAGUUUGAGUCCAUGUUUUGUUAAGAGGUAUGAAAAUGAGAAAAAUUGAUUGGUUUUCAUUAUGCUGUUUGUGUUAUUUGUCAUAACAUUUUCAUUAUUUAAGUUUGUUCUUAAUGGUUUCCUUGAUGUUAACCAAAAAGGAGGAAGCCUUUGGUAGGAUCAUUCUAUUGGGGAAAAUUCCCUGGCUUCCUUCGGCUGACCUGAUGAAUGUAAAGGUCUCUUUUGGUCUUCUGAUCUUUAAACAAUGGAGAGGGAAAUAUUGCAUCUUUGGGAGCAGCAGACGUGAACAUUGCAACAGCACUGCUCCUGAGGCAAUUUGUACAAACCUUGAACAAUAUCUAGAGUGGCUAACAAUGACUCUGGGAGCUGGUAUAAUUGUCAAAACAUUUGAGCUAAACCCAACAGAUGUAAUGGCUAGAUCAGCAUUGGUCAUGUUGUGAACACUGCUCUUUGAAUAUUUCUCAGGUUAAUGCAGUUUGGUGACUAAAAUGUUAGCAAAUUUUUUUUCUCUAAAUUAAAGUUAGCACAGUGAGUUAAAAAUAAUUCUAGGUCAGAGUGGCUUAAUUGAAUAUACUAGUGUUGCUUUUUAGUAAACCUAGACAGCAUCUUUUGAUUUAUAAUCAAUUAGAAAUACGUCAUGCAGCAUUAGCAACCCUAUACAGCAUAUACAUAUAUACAGUUGUUGAUUGAUAUGCACCAUCAGCGAAGUGACCUGCACUGUGCUUGCUCAGGUAGCCAGAAAGCAAAUGGACAGUCUAAGUUCUUUUCCAUGUGUGUCCUGUUGCUUUUGAACUCAGGCUUUUGAUGUGGAGACAUCUGAACUUCCAUGACUAUAGUAGCACCUCUGCAUACCUGGGGAUUGUGUGAAACCCAAUGUAACCAAAAAGAGUGAUAUAAAGACAUCCCCUGUUUCAUGUUGGAAUUUUUUAUAUAGUCAUUUGCUUUCUCUUUCUGUCAUUAAAACCAGUUCUAUCAAAAAAGUCUCUUCUGUAUUUGAGAGUGGGAGGUGUGGAUAUUUGAGGGCACAGGCCUUUGCUCUUGAACUUAAAUUAACAUUAAAUUAUUUAGAAUAAUUCACAGAAUUUCAAGUUUUGUGAAUUAGUUGCAUUUAUUUUAGUAGUCCUGUGAAGUAGUUUACAAAAACUAAAUAUAAAUGAAAUUAAAUAUAACAUGUAGCAGUUAUGUCAAUGUUCUAUGUAGAACAACGUGAACAGUUUCUGAGAAAAUAAGAGCUAAGUUAUUUAUCCCCUUUUUUUGCCUGACUUAAAAUUAAAUGAAUGUAUUGAGGGAUUGUAAUUUGAUGUUUAUCUCUGUUGUGCCUACUACAAUGAGAUCAUGCUUUUUAACAGUGUAAGUUUUAAACAGCCAUUAAACACAGGCUCUUUAUUAUAAAAGGCCUGUAAAAACAUGUAUAUUGACACAGGCCUUUUGCUGCUCUAUCUGUCAGAAAUACUUAAGAAUUACCUCCACUGUGGUAAUUGUGUACAAAGCAGAAGAACAUGGUAAGCAGUUGAAGGUUACAAAACACUUUAAAAAUUAAUUUGGAGUGAUAUAAACUAGUAAUUAAAUGUUGCUAGAUAAUGGGAAGGCUCAACAACUUAAAAGCUUGGGAAAAAAAGAGCUUUAAAUUUCUUAAAAAUUUUCUUCUUAUAAUGGGAUAGGUGGUUUUUACAGUUGUAGUUUUCUCUGUACUUUUUAAAUGAGUAACACUUCAGUAGUCAAAGAUUUGCAGACGAUGUGAGAGAUGAUGCCUAGUGACAGGAAACAUGUCAUUCCACCCUGAAUGGACAGUAUUUUAAUGAAAAGCUUAGCAAAGUGACUAUGUAUCAAACAAUAUUUGCAGCAGGUGCAUAAAUUAUGAAAUACUGCCUUGAGGAGAAAAAGGUAUUGGUAGGUUACUUUUAAUAUUGACGCCUUGCCUGAAGGUCAAUAGCAAUGAGCACAUUUGGAGGAAGGUAUUUUUUCAUGUCAGCAUUGUUUAUUUUAACCACUUUAUUAUUAUUAUUCAUAUAUUCUGCUGUUCUCUAUUGCCUGAACCAGUUUUCCCUCCAUUUUUCCUUACUUACUCCAGUCUUGACAGUGCUCUGAUGUUCUAUGUAUGCAUUUGUUGAAAUGCUAGAGGUUAUUUUUUCUGAACUGAUCUCCAGUUCUGAGGGAAUUAGCACUAUUAAUACUUACUUAAGUAGUAUACUCUUGAUGUCCAUAAUAAUAUUUCAUAUUUUUUCCUUCCCCUGCAACAAGUCCCUGCAAAUAUUUUAUUAGGUGUGCUUAAGAAAGAUGAUGACACAGAGUGAUUACUGCACUUUCAAUUAAAAUAUUCUGUUUUCACUAGUAUCUCUGACAGCAAAAAAUAGCAGAAUGGUAAGCUUCCAGUAGAGGUCCAGCUUCCUUUAUAGCUUGCUUUCAGCAUAGGUCCAGCUGCGGUCCUUUUCAAGGUUAACUUUGCGUUAACAUUGCAGAAGUGUAUGGAUGGCUGUAUUAUGCUCUUUCAGUUUUUUUUUCCCUUAUGUUUUAUUUAUUUUUGAGAGAUUACAUAAAAGGAGGUUUUUCUUAACUACAGUAAAAUGUAAAUGUAAUCAAUUCUGAUUGAACAGCCUUUUAAGUUGACUUUCCUCUGAAUCCUCUAAGUCCAGUUCUCACAGCAUCCUAUUCUCCCUGCUGAACUGAAAAAUAUGCUGGCCUGUUACUGUGAAUAUUUCUUUUGGAGAGAAGAGAGUAGUGAAAGAACACAGAUCAUCUAGUCUUAAAUCUUCUUGCAGAAGCAAGAGCUAAGUCCCUCUGGAUUUCUCUUGGUGCAAGUGUAGGGAGGAGGCUGCUAACCUGAGAUACAGUAAUUUAUAAUGUGAUUCUCAAAGAGAGAUUCAACAUUUCUAGGAGGUAGAGGGGCAAAAUGCUUGAGGGACAAGGUCGUUUGAAUGAGGCAUGCAGCACAAGAAGUGCAAGGACAUUGGCUCAAGAACAGUAAAGGGAUCUCUAUUCUUUGGGUCACUUUCUACCAUUCUGAAGAAGCUGCUUUGUUUCUUAAAGACAAUUAUUAUUUUGAUGAGUGAGGUGGGAUGCUAGAGACUGUUUCACGCUCUAUAUGCCCUCAGAGAAUCACUUACAAGUCACAACCUGGUUGAGUGGCUGUGUGUGUUUCCCUGUGUCCAGGUGUGCACAUCUGGAUCUCAUCUCAGUUAUACUGUCUUCCAGUAUGCACACUAUGUGUUCUAUUACACAAAUAAAUAAUUCUGUCACCUUGAAAAAGUGGUGAGUUUGUUUCCUCACCUUAAUUAUCUCUGCAUGAGGAAAGUAUGAAGCCAGAACACCCCGAUUCCAUAAAUUUUAUAGCAUCUCAACAUGUCUGAGUUACUAGUUACUGUUUUAUCUCCCUUGCAAGACUGUAUACUGAACUUUCAGACUCACAGGCCCUGUAAUGUCUCUGUCCCUAACAGCAGCAUCAUUAUUCUUACCACAUUUAGGUGAAACUGUGUUUACUUGAAUACAAGCCAAGUUAGCUAAUUGUCACCAGCCAUCUCUGCAGUGCUGCCUGGAAAAAAAUUUUUAAUUCUUCUAGCUCCCUUGGCUGUGGACAGCAAUGGUAGUCAGAGGUCCUCAGGAACUUUUGACUUCCCUAAUCCCUUAAUUAAUCAUUUAUUUUCCUCCUUAUUCCAUACUCAUUAUUUUCCCUAGGCACUAUUGUUUUGGUUUGCAAUUAAUGUGAAGGCUGUAGUUUAGCUAAAAACAACUGUGAGAGAGGAAAGCAUGACUUCAAAAACUGCUUGUGUUGCCAAGUGCAGUAUUUAAUUUGGCUUUGCUUCCUUACUAAUUAUCUCUUCAAUGAGGGAUCUCAGAACUUUUUGUCAUGUUUCAUUACUCCUUGUUACCAUGGUUUACAGCCUGAAGUAGGUGACAGGAUGCUUGCCUUCUCUUUAGUAGGUUCAUCUUUUUAAAAGAUGCUAAAUUUGAUUUAAAAAAAAAUCAGUGUGUUCUGACUUGAAGCUGUACUUAUAAUUGGUAAUUUGGUAAAAACUAUUAAGCUAUCUAGCUGUUUACAUGAAAAGAGUCCGUCUUCUGGUUAAAGGUGAACCAAAUAUUUUUAAACAGUACUUUGAACAUUAUAAAUAGCUAUGCUACAACUUUGUGAAAGCAGAAGUGAGUAAUCUUCUCUGUAUCUACCCUCUCCCUCCUCUGCAGGCCUUGGAAAUCUGCAUAAGGACAAGAUUUUUGGUCUUCAGAAGACAGGAUACAAUACUAAAAAAAAAUAAUGGCAAUAGGAGCAACACACUUUCUGGACUGAAUGCUCUCUCUUCCAUAAAUGUUUGACUUUUCAGGCGUCUGGCAGAACAGCCUGUGAUGUCUUCCAGGUGAAGAAACUGAAUGAAAGAAGUCCAGCAUGGAGACUGACCACUGGAGGAAGGUCUUGACGUACCUGUGUCACUUCCAGCCAUUACUUCUAAUGUCUUUUUUAGGGACCACCACAGGAAGAUACAUCUGUCCUGACUUUUCCUUGUUGCCAUUUGGAUACACUAUUUAAUUUCCCUACAACUGGAGAGUUUUUCAAUAUUUCUUUGUAAGGGGACAAUGAUUUUGCUUGUACUUGUUUGAUUAAAUUUCUUUUCUAGGUAGUUUGAACUCAUAGCAGCUGCUUGUGUUUACUGAAAUUAGAACUGAGUAUUUUAAUUUCAACAGUGUUGCUUUGGUCAUUAAAACCUCCAAACAAUUCUUUAAAAGAAUUAACAUUUUUAUCAGUGAAACAUUUUGAUAUUUUAAUUUGAAAUGUUUUGUUUUGAAAUUACUUUGAAAAGUUGUAGUAUACUAAACUUAUUUCAUGUAUCAAAAGAGAAUUUUCAGUAUAGAAAAGUGCAUUUGUUUGCAAAUGUCUUGUUACCACAAGAUGUCUCUGUACUUGCACUCCCUAUAAAUGAUCAUGCUAUGUUGUUGUUACACCUGAAAGAGAGGAAAUCCAGUGGAACUUAAAAAAUAUUGUAAACUAGAAACAAUCUUCAAGUUUUAAUUUUAUCUUGAUCAGUUUUGGACUAUAAAUUAGCAGGAGGUUUAUAUAUUCAGUGUGUUACUCUCUGAAAUUCUUAUAUAACUAUCUGCGAACAUUAAAUGUAAUCUCUCCUUAGAUUUAGAAGGUUGUAAAUCAGUUUUAUUUUAGUCUGCACUUUUAAAACGGGUAUUUCUAGGUCUAGGCUGAAAUAGUAGUCUUUUGUUUGAAUAAACCGAAAUAAAGCAAUUAGAAUAAGUAAACAGGAAGAAAGAUUGAAGACAUUAGAAUCAAA